rnacentral:tRNA from 1 species
AGUUAAUGUAGCAAAACCUGGUAUUGCAAAAGACCUAAACCCUUUCCACAGGGGCUCAAAUCCCCUCAUUAACU